CCCUGGGUCGCUCCCACUUCGUCAUCCAUGGAGAACGGCUACGGGACAAACAGGUGAUCCUGGAGUGUGCUCUGAGAAAGAACCUUCUGUACACCAAGGCCACGCCCACCUUCCACCAUUGGAUGGUGGAAGACAGGAGGUGUGGCCUGACGUUCCAGAGGCCUGCUGAUGCUCGGGCCUUCGACAGGGGCGUACGGAAAGCCAUGGAGGACAUGGCAGAAGGCUCCACGACGUCCUCCUCAACACUCCAGAACGAGACAGAACUGGGCGACGAUGACGUGUUCACCGUAAGUACGACCUGUCUCAUUUAGAUGUUUAACUGUCAGAGAUGAUGUGUUCACCGUAAACACGACCUGUCUCAUUUAGAUGUUUAACUGUCAGAGAUGAUGUGUUCACCGUAAA